UACAGGGGGUGCAAACGUUGCUCGGAAUCAUUGGGCGUAAAGCGCACGUAGGCGGUUCGUUAUGUCGGAUGUGAAAGCCCUUGGCUUAACCGAGGAAGUGCAUCCGAAACUGGCGAGCUAGAGUACUAAAGAGGAUCGCGGAAUUCCCGGUGUAGAGGUGAAAUUCGUAGAUAUCGGGAGGAACACCGGUGGCGAAGGCGGCGAUCUGGGUAGAUACUGACGCUGAGGUGCGAAAGCGUGGGGGAGCGAACAGG
rnacentral:rRNA from 1 species